AUGGGACGAGCUGCUCCUGCGCUGCUGCCCCGCGAGCGGCCCGGCCGUGGCGGGGUCCCGUGUGGGUGCUGCGGCGGCGAGGAGCGCAGGCCGCCCGCCUCGGGCCCUGGAGGUCCCCGCACAGCCCCCGGGGCGGCGUCCCGGCGAUCGCGGAAGCCCUCGCUGUCCUCCAGCGGGCUCAGGUUGCUCGUGAAGUCGGCGCUGACCGCGCGGGCUGGAGGUGGCCGCGUGGGACCCGCGGAACUCCCGCCGGGGCAGCGGCUGGAAAACCGGGUCGACCUCCGUCCCCCGGGAUGCUUCGGCCCUGGGGUCCCCUCCCUCCCCUCCCUCCCUCCCUCCCUCCCUCCCCCUCCCUCCCUCCCUCCCCUCCCCUCCCUCCCUCCCCUCCCUCCUCCGCCAGCCGCGGGCGAGCCAAGAAAGGGGAGAGCAAAGCACCGGGCGGAGGGGAGGGGGCGCGAGGAGGAGGCGGAGAUUCCGGGGACAAGGUCGGUUCGGCCCGAGGCUGAAAGAAACUGGGAGCCAGGCGGGGGCGGCGGAAGCGCGAGUCCAGAACUGAGCCCGGCGGGGCCGUGCGCGGCGAGGCUGCUCCCGGUCCGCUGCGCGGAUGGACGGCGGGCCGGAGCCCCGGGCCGGGGCGGAUCCGGGCACAGCGGGCGCCGCACUCCCGCAAACAGGGCCGUGGACCCCGCGGGCCGUGGCUCUCCCCGAGGCGCGCCCUCUGAGCUGCUGCCUGUGGACUGCGGCACGGAGGCUGCAGAACUACGCGGCCGCCCGACUGACGGGGUUACAAAAGGAGGAUUCGUUGGAACUUUCCUCGGGCCCCACGCUUGCUCGGGAUCUGGAUUCCAUUUGGCAGCGCGCAGCCGUCCAGUGGACGGGCUUUGUAGAGUUCUCGGACCUGGUGUUCACAGCAAGUGAGGUGGGUUCAGUUCUUCCCAGGUUCCAGUGGUUGAGGUGGAAAGGCAACGGUAUAAAUACCCUUGAUGGCCUGUUCUCCGUAACCAGGUGGAGAUAGUGGUGGAGUGUUGUAGGCUAGUCCUAAGUGUAAUACGUUUGAAGUAAUGAGGUAAAAAGUAGAAGGAAGUGUUUCCGCCCGGUUUCGAACCGGGGACCUUUCGCGUGUGAGGCGAACGUGAUAACCACUACACUACGGAAACCUGCUUGGCUUUCGUGUGCCAUCGUAAUGACCCACCACACAGGGCCGUUUUUUAUUUCCUCAUCGUAAUUCAGAGCUUCCUCCAUGCGUCCCUUCGAGCUUUAUUAAUGAGCAUAAGCACACACACAAAGAUAUUUCAGCACCUGGAAGGCUGAGGCGGCAGGAUAGCUGGAGCCCAGGAGGUCGAGACUGCACUGAGCUAUGAUUGCAGCACUGCACUCCAGCCUGGGCGACAGAGCAAGACCUUAUCUCGAAAGAGAGAAAAGAAAGAAACGAGAAAAGGAAGUUUUCAUGUGCAAUGUGGUGGCAUAAGUGGGCACGAGAGUCCUGAGAGAGGAUGUCCCGGCGACAGUGGGUAUGGGGUUGAAGAGCAGGGGCGCGCUGGCACCGUUUUCUAAGAGAAGAGACUUUCAGAAGAAGCUGCUUGGGGAAUAUGAGGCCACGUGUUCGUGAGUAGAGCUGAAGCUUGUGUGUCCAGAGAAAUUGGAGUGGAAUGAAAGAGGAAGUAGCCUAAACACCAUUUUGUUGUUCCAUUGUUUGGUAGAACUCUAGAUUUUCCUAGCAGCCACUGCUCUUGGACAUUUAGAUUACUUUCCUCCCACCAACAGUAUGCAAGCGUUAUGAAGGCUACCCCCUUGGCAACAUUUGGCACUUUUCAUUGAUUUUUUUUUUUAACUUCUAGCCAUUUGUGGGUAUGUAGUAUUCCUUAUGGUUUAAGUUUGCAUUUAGCUGAUAAGAAAAGAUGGGCACUUUUUCAUGGGUUUAUGGCCCAUGUGUUCAUCUUACUGUGUGAAGUAUCUCUUUAAAUAUCUUGUCCAUUAAAAACAAACAAAGAAAAAAAACACACAAACAGAAAACCCCAAGAAACAAAAAACAAAGAACUGGCAUGUCAUGGUGGCUCACACCUGUAAUUCCAGAACUCUGGGAGGGCGAGGUGUGUGAAUUGUUUGAGCUCAUGAGUUGAGACCAGUCUGGGCAACAUUGGGACAUCAUCUCUACAGAACGUCCAAAAAUUAGCUGGGAGUGAUGGCGUUCACUUGUAGUUUCUGUAGGUACUUGGGAGGCUGAGGUGAGAGUAUUGCUUGAGCCUGAGAGAUGGAGGCUGCAGUGAGCAGAGAUCUCACUGCUGCACUCCAGCCUGGGUAACAGAGCAAGAUCCUGUUCCAAAAAGACUCUCAUAUGUUUUUUAAUCUGGAAACUUUUAAAUUUUAGCUUGCAUGUUUAAGUGUAAACUCUAUUUCAUAUAAAUUUUUUUGUUAUGGUGUGAGGUUGGGAUUAAGGUUAAUUUCUUUCCCCUAUGGAUAUCCAGUUGUUCCUGAACCCAUAGUUGCAAAGACACUAUUUCUGAGUUUUCUCUAUGUGGAGUGCAGUGGGAUGGCUCACUGCAAUUGGGUCACCAUUCUCCUGCUUCAGCCUCC
ensembl:lncRNA